rfam:Acidobacteria bacterium 13_1_40CM_3_56_11 13_1_40cm_3_scaffold_9453, whole genome shotgun sequence.
CCCGGGGGGCUGCGCAAUUGGAGCCUGAAAACCCCGCCAGGUCCGGAAGGAAGCAACGGUAUUGGGUAAACCAAUGUGACGCAGUAUCCCCCAGGCCU